UAACCUCUGGCGAAACUCGUGAAUGUUA
rfam:Flavobacterium sp. MedPE-SWcel Flavobacterium-sp-MedPE-SWcel-C9, whole genome shotgun sequence.